ensembl:lncRNA
UUAACCAUUCUAGUAAUUCUUAACUUUGACUGCACCUAGAAUACCAAAAGAUUUCAAAACCACACCUGAGUGUGUUUGCGCCUGUGUGCACCAUCAUGAGACUCUACUUAAUUGGUCUAGGUUAAGACGUGAGCCUCAGGAUCCUGUUAGGCAACCAAGUUGAGAAUCUCUGGCAUCUCCAGCUGGAGCCCGGCUUACCCCUGAGGACUGUGAAAUCAACAGAAUUGAAAUAUAGUUUGCUGAUGAUAUUUUGAGAAGUUCAACAACCUGGAUGUCCUACCAAGAUCCUGUUGAUAGUUCUGUGGCUCCUGAAGCCCAGGACCCUUAAUUCAGAAACAGGGAAAACAACUGAGGCCUUCGGUGAUGGGUUCUUCCUUGCUAUGACUCACAUACCGGAGAACAUGCAUGCAUGUUUUGUCCAAAACAAC